GGUUGAUCCUGCCAGUAGUCAUAUGCUUGUCUCAAAGAUUAAGCCAUGCAUGUCUCAGUACAAGCCAAACUAAGGUGAAACCGCGAAAGGCUCAUUAAAUCAGUUAUGGUUCCUUAGAUCGUACCCACAAUUACUUGGAUAACUGUGGUAAUUCUAGAGCUAAUACAUGCAAACAGAGCUCCGACCGGAGACGGAAGGAGUGCUUUUAUUAGAUCAAAACCAAUCGGUGGCGGGUUCGCUCGUCAUCGUACAACUUGGUGACUCUGAAUAACUUUACGCUGAUCGCACGGUCAUCGCACCGGCGACGCAUCUUUCAAAUGUCUGCCUUAUCAACUGUCGAUGGUAGGUUCUGCGCCUACCAUGGUUGUAACGGGUAACGGGGAAUCAGGGUUCGAUUCCGGAGAGGGAGCCUGAGAAACGGCUACCACAUCCAAGGAAGGCAGCAGGCGCGCAAAUUACCCACUCCCGGCACGGGGAGGUAGUGACGAAAAAUAACGAUACGGGACUCAUCCGAGGCCCCGUAAUCGGAAUGAGUACACUCUAAACCYUUUAACGAGGAUCAAUUGGAGGGUAAGUCUGGUGCCAGC
rnacentral:rRNA from 1 species